GACGGACGCUGGCGGCGUGCUUAACACAUGCAAGUCGAACGGUAAGGCCCUUCGGGGUACACGAGUGGCGAACGGGUGAGUAACACGUGGGUGAUCUGCCCUGCACUUCGGGAUAAGCCUGGGAAACUGGGUCUAAUACCGGAUAGGACCAUGGACUUCACGGUUUGUGGUGGAAAGCUUUUGCGGUGUGGGAUGGGCCCGCGGCCUAUCAGCUUGUUGGUGGGGUAAUGGCCUACCAAGGCGACGACGGGUAGCCGGCCUGAGAGGGUGUCCGGCCACACUGGGACUGAGAUACGGCCCAGACUCCUACGGGAGGCAGCAGUGGGGAAUAUUGCACAAUGGGCGCAAGCCUGAUGCAGCGACGCCGCGUGAGGGAUGACGGCCUCGGGUUGUAACCUCUUUCAAUAGGACGAAGCGCAAGUGACGGUACCUAUAGAAGAAGCACCGGCCAACUACGUGCCAGCAG
rnacentral:rRNA from 1 species